CGGGGAGUAGCUCGCCCUGGAAGGGCCCUGCCUUCGGGAGGCGGGCCAUGGAGGUUCAAAUCCUCGUUCCCCGGCCA
rnacentral:tRNA from 1 species